UGGGGAAUAUUGCACAAUGGGGGGAACCCUGAUGCAGCGACGCCGCGUGAGUGAAGAAGUCAUUCGUGAUGUAAAGCUCUAUCAGCAGGGAAGAAAAUGACGGUACCUGACUAAGAAGCCCCGGCUAACUACGUGCCAGCAGCCGCGGUAAUACGUAGGGGGCAAGCGUUAUCCGGAUUUACUGGGUGUAAAGGGAGCGUAGACGGCAAUGCAAGUCCGGAGUGAAAGCCCGGGGCCCAACCCCGGGACUGCUCUGGAAACUGUAGAGCUGGAGUGCGGGAGGGGCAGGCGGAAUUCCUAGUG
rnacentral:rRNA from 1 species